rnacentral:rRNA from 1 species
GACGAACGCUGGCGGCGUGCCUAAUACAUGCAAGUAGAACGCAGUUGCGAACGGGUGAGUAACGCGUAGGUACCUGCCUCAUAGCGGGGGAUAACUAUUUGAAACGAUAGCUAAUACCGCAUACUGUUAGCUGGACCUUCUUGGUAUUAGCUAGUUGGUGAGGUAAGGCUCACCAAGGCGACGUUACAUAGCCGACCUGAGAGGGUGGUCGGCCACACUGGGAAGGAGAAACGGCCCAGACUCCUACGGGAGGCAGCAGUAGGGAAACUUCGGCAAUGGACGGAAGUCGGGACGAGCAACGCCGCGGGAGUGAAGAAGGUUUUCGGAUCGUAAAGCUAUGUUGUUAGAGAAGCGGUAACUAAACAGAAAGGGACGGCUAACUACGUGCCAGCAGCCGCGGUAAUUC